GGUGAACGCUGGCGGUAGGCCUAACACAUGCAAGUCGAACGGCAGCACAGUAAGAGCUUGCUCUUACGGGUGGCGAGUGGCGGACGGGUGAGGAAUACAUCGGAAUCUACUUUUUCGUGGGGGAUAACGUAGGGAAACUUACGCUACUACCGCAUACGACCUACGGGUGAAAGCAGGGGAUCUUCGGACCUUGCGCGAUUGAAUGAGCCGAUGUCGGAUUAGCUAGUUGGCGGGGUAAAGGCCCACCAAGGCGACGAUCCGUAGCUGGUCUGAGAGGAUGAUCAGCCACACUGGAACUGAGACACGGUCCAGACUCCUACGGGAGGCAGCAGUGGGGAAUAUUGGACAAUGGGCGCAAGCCUGAUCCAGCCAUACCGCGUGGGUGAAGAAGGCCUUCGGGUUGUAAAGCCCUUUUGUUGGGAAAGAAAAGCAGCAGGUUAAUACCCCGCUGUUCUGACGGUACCCAAAGAAUAAGCACCGGCUAACUUCGUG
rnacentral:rRNA from 1 species